GCAUGAAGCUGGAAUCGCUAGUAAUCGCGGAUCAGAAUGCCGCGGUGAAUACGUUCCCGGGUCUUGUACACACCGCCCGUCACACCAUGGGAGCCGAUAAUACCCGAAGUCAGUAGUCUAACCGCAAGGAGGACGCUGCCGAAGGUAGGAUUGGCGACUGGGGUGAAGUCGUAACAAGGUAAC
rnacentral:rRNA from 1 species